rnacentral:rRNA from 1 species
UGGGGGCAUGCCUAUCUCAUGCAAGUCGAACGGUAACAGGAAGCAGCUUGCUGCUUCGCUGACGAGUGGCGGACGGGUGAGUAAUGUCUGGGAAACUGCCUGAUGGAGGGGGAUAACUACUGGAAACGGUAGCUAAUACCGCAUAACGUCGCAAGACCAAAGAGGGGGACCUUCGGGCCUCUUGCCAUCGGAUGUGCCCAGAUGGGAUUAGCUAGUAGGUGGGGUAACGGCUCACCUAGGCGACGAUCCCUAGCUGGUCUGAGAGGAUGACCAGCCACACUGGAACUGAGACACGGUCCAGACUCCUACGGGAGGCAGCAGUGGGGAAUAUUGCACAAUGGGCGCAAGCCUGAUGCAGCCAUGCCGCGUGUAUGAAGAAGGCCUUCGGGUUGUAAAGUACUUUCAGCGGGGAGGAAGGGAGUAAAGUUAAUACCUUUGCUCAUUGACGUUACCCGCAGAAGAAGCACCGGCUAACUCCGUGCCAGCAGCCGCGGUAAUACGGAGGGUGCAAGCGUUAAUCGGAAUUACUGGGCGUAAAGCGCACGCAGGCGGUUUGUUAAGUCAGAUGUGAAAUCCCCGGGCUCAACCUGGGAACUGCAUCUGAUACUGGCAAGCUUGAGUCUCGUAGAGGGGGGUAGAAUUCCAGGUGUAGCGGUGAAAUGCGUAGAGAUCUGGAGGAAUACCGGUGGCGAAGGCGGCCCCCUGGACGAAGACUGACGCUCAGGUGCGAAAGCGUGGGGAGCAAACAGGAUUAGAUACCCUGGUAGUCCACGCCGUAAACGAUGUCGACUUUGGAGGUUGUGCCCUUGAGGCGUGGCUUCCGGAGCUAACGCGUUAAGUCGACCGCCUGGGGGAGUACGGCCGCAAGGUUAAAACUCAAAUGAAUUGACGGGGGCCCGCACAAGCGGUGGAACAUGUGGGUUUAAUUCGAUGCAACGCGAAGAACCUUACCUGGUCUUGACAUCCACAGAACUUUCCAGAAAUGGAUUGGUGCCUUCGGGAACUGUGAGACAGGUGCUGCAUGGCUGUCGUCAGCUCGUGUUGUGAAAUGUUGGGUUAAGUCCCGCAACGAGCGCAACCCUUAUCCUUUGUUGCCAGCGGUCCGGCCGGGAACUCAAAGGAGACUGCCAUGAAAAACUUGAGGAA